rnacentral:rRNA from 1 species
UACGAAGGGUGCAAGCGUUACUCGGAAUUACUGGGCGUAAAGCGUGCGUAGGUGGUGAGUUAAGUCUGUCGUGAAAGCCCCGGGCUCAACCUGGGAAUGGCGAUGGAUACUGGCUCGCUAGAGUUCGGUAGGGGAGACUGGAAUUCCUGGUGUAGCGGUGAAAUGCGCAGAUAUCAGGAGGAACACCGGUGGCGAAGGCGGGUCUCUGGGCCGAUACUGACGCUGAGGAGCGAAAGCGUGGGGAGCGAACAGG